CGUCAACCUUACAAAACCCUAGGCUAAAACCCUAACCUCUCCCUAUAUAUUUUGCAUCUCUCUCUCUAUGUCUCUCUCUCUCCUGACAUCGUCGAUCUCCUGCUGGUAGCAGAACUCGAUCUUUGCUCAGGUGUAUGAAGGUUGCCAUUGCAUCCGUAGAUUCCAAAGAACCUGGCGCAGCUUGACCGUACGAUGGAAUUUAGAAACAAAAUUUAAGUUUUAUUCUCAAGUGAAGUUGUACGACUGGACAAUGACUUAAGUGGCUUUUGAUCAGUAAGGAUGAUAAAGAUGAUAAAAGUGAAAAAAUCAAGAAUCUGAUGCGGGGAGGAAAUCAAUGCAAGUUAAUUUAACAUAACAAUGAAUAACAAUGAGUCGAUGACAUUGCCAUUGCUGUGGAUUUCCUGCUGCUGCUUAUAAAAUGAGAAGAAUAUUUAAAAUAUUUAUUGCUUUCUAAGGUAAUAAAUAUAAAUUAAUUUUUUGAGGGUAAUGAUUGUAUUUUUGCUCUCUUGUUUUAGCGAGUUGUGCAAGUAUUUUAAUCUAUUUAGUUGUCCUUGAUAAUUUUUUUUAAAAAUGUUAAUAAAGAUGAAUUAGAAAUAA